CGGCUGAGCUUCCAGGCUUAAAACUGAUUAAUUAACCACAAGAUAAAAUGAGCCCCUAAUAGAUAUCUUUACAGCUGG